rnacentral:rRNA from 1 species
GGAGGGUGCGAGCGUUAAUCGGAAUUACUGGGCGUAAAGCGCACGUAGGCGGCUUGUUAAGCAAGAUGUGAAAGCCCAGGGCUCAACCUUGGAAUUGCAUUUUGAACUGGCAAGCUAGAGUUUUGAAGAGGGUGGUAGAAUUUCCAGUGUAGCGGUGAAAUGCGUAGAUAUUGGAAGGAAUACCAGUGGCGAAGGCGGCCACCUGGUCAAAAACUGACGCUGAGGAGCGAAAGCGUGGGGAGCAAACAGGAUUAGAUACCCUGGUAGUCCACGCCGUAAACGAUGUCGACUAGUUGUUCGUGUCUUUAAGAUGUGAGUAACGCMKAACGCACUAAGUCGACCGCC